rnacentral:sRNA from 1 species
GGAUCUCGCCCUCCCUGUGGCUGCUCCUGCUUGGGGGGCCUGCCUGCCUGAAGACCCAGGAACACCCCAGCUGCCCAGGACCCAGGGAACUGGAAGCCAGCAAAGUUGUCCUCCUGCCCAGUUGUCCCGGAGCUCCAGGAAGUCCUGGGGAGAAGGGAGCCCCAGGUCCUCAAGGUGAGAGAGGCUGGGGAGGAGGCUGGGAUCUUGGGAACGGGGAAGGCAGGAAUGUGGCAAGUUUUGUCUGUGCUGAGGGGCCACGACAAAGGAGCAAGGAACCUACUCUGUGCCAGCUCCAGGCUGGGCACCCGGCAUCCUAAGAUCAACUCUGCCAGGUAGGUGGUUUCAUCCCUAUUCUGCUGAGGAGGAAAGGGAGGUUCAGAGAGGAUAAGAUAUUUGCCCGCAAUCACAAAGUGAGUGAAGGGUGAAACUGGGAUUUGAACCUCUGGCUCCAAGUCUCUUGUUUCUUUUUGGUCCUGGGCAUGGGGUGGGACUCAGGAAAUCUCUGCCUUUGAGAUUUCAGGGCAACCUGGACCACCAGGCAAGAUGGGCCCCAAGGGUGAGCCGGGUGAGUAAGUGGGGCUGGAGGCCUUCCCGCUUUCUUUACCUCUGUCCCUGGACUCUAGGGUGGGAUCUCUGCUUGGUGCUGCACCUAUGAUGGCUCUCUCACAGGGGAAUGGAUGGCUGGGAGGAGUGGAGAGGAUUAGGAGAAGGGCCUGGGUACCCUAUGAUGGCCCUCCUACAGGGUAUGGAAGGCUGGGAGGAGUGGGAAGGAUUCGGAAAAGGGCCAGGGUACCGGCUCCGCUGGUGGCUCAGCGCUGGGGUGCAGAGACGUCAGAGCCAACACUCGUCCCUUCU